CACACUAUCAUUAACUGAAUCCAUAGGUUAAUGAGGCGAACCGGGGGAACUGAAACAUCUAAGUACCCCGAGGAAAAGAAAUCAACCGAGAUUCCCCCAGUAGCGGCGAGCGAACGGGGAGCAGCCCAGAGCCUGAAUCAGUGUGUGUGUUAGUGGAAGCGUCUGGAAAGGCGUGCGAUACAGGGUGACAGCCCCGUACACAAAAAUGCACAUACUGUGAGCUCGAUGAGUAGGGCGGGACACGUGGUAUCCUGUCUGAAUAUGGGGGGACCAUCCUCCAAGGCUAAAUACUCCUGACUGACCGAUAGUGAACCAGUACCGUGAGGGAAAGGCGAAAAGAACCCCGGCGAGGGGAGUGAAAAAGAACCUGAAACCGUGUACGUACAAGCAGUGGGAGCACGCUUAGGCGUGUGACUGCGUACCUUUUGUAUAAUGGGUCAGCGACUUAUAUUCUGUAGCAAGGUUAACCGAAUAGGGGAGCCGAAGGGAAACCGAGUCUUAACUGGGCGUUAAGUUGCAGGGUAUAGACCCGAAACCCGGUGAUCUAGCCAUGGGCAGGUUGAAGGUUGGGUAACACUAACUGGAGGACCGAACCGACUAAUGUUGAAAAAUUAGCGGAUGACUUGUGGCUGGGGGUGAAAGGCCAAUCAAACCGGGAGAUAGCUGGUUCUCCCCGAAAGCUAUUUAGGUAGCGCCUCGUGAAUUCAUCUCCGGGGGUAGAGCACUGUUUCGGCAAGGGGGUCAUCCCGACUUACCAACCCGAUGCAAACUGCGAAUACCGGAGAAUGUUAUCACGGGAGACACACGGCGGGUGCUAACGUCCGUCGUGAAGAGGGAAACAACCCAGACCGCCAGCUAAGGUCCCAAAGUCAUGGUUAAGUGGGAAACGAUGUGGGAAGGCCCAGACAGCCAGGAUGUUGGCUUAGAAGCAGCCAUCAUUUAAAGAAAGCGUAAUAGCUCACUGGUCGAGUCGGCCUGCGCGGAAGAUGUAACGGGGCUAAACCAUGCACCGAAGCUGCGGCAGCGACGCUUAUGCGUUGUUGGGUAGGGGAGCGUUCUGUAAGCCUGUGAAGGUGUGCUGUGAGGUAUGCUGGAGGUAUCAGAAGUGCGAAUGCUGACAUAAGUAACGAUAAAGCGGGUGAAAAGCCCGCUCGCCGGAAGACCAAGGGUUCCUGUCCAACGUUAAUCGGGGCAGGGUGAGUCGACCCCUAAGGCGAGGCCGAAAGGCGUAGUCGAUGGGAAACAGGUUAAUAUUCCUGUACUUGGUGUUACUGCGAAGGGGGGACGGAGAAGGCUAUGUUGGCCGGGCGACGGUUGUCCCGGUUUAAGCGUGUAGGCUGGUUUUCCAGGCAAAUCCGGAAAAUCAAGGCCGAGGCGUGAUGACGAGGCACUACGGUGCUGAAGCAACAAAUGCCCUGCUUCCAGGAAAAGCCUCUAAGCAUCAGGUAACAUCAAAUCGUACCCCAAACCGACACAGGUGGUCAGGUAGAGAAUACCAAGGCGCUUGAGAGAACUCGGGUGAAGGAACUAGGCAAAAUGGUGCCGUAACUUCGGGAGAAGGCACGCUGAUACGUAGGUGAAGCGACUUGCUCGUGGAGCUGAAAUCAGUCGAAGAUACCAGCUGGCUGCAACUGUUUAUUAAAAACACAGCACUGUGCAAACACGAAAGUGGACGUAUACGGUGUGACGCCUGCCCGGUGCCGGAAGGUUAAUUGAUGGGGUUAGCGCAAGCGAAGCUCUUGAUCGAAGCCCCGGUAAACGGCGGCCGUAACUAUAACGGUCCUAAGGUAGCGAAAUUCCUUGUCGGGUAAGUUCCGACCUGCACGAAUGGCGUAAUGAUGGCCAGGCUGUCUCCACCCGAGACUCAGUGAAAUUGAACUCGCUGUGAAGAUGCAGUGUACCCGCGGCAAGACGGAAAGACCCCGUGAACCUUUACUAUAGCUUGACACUGAACAUUGAGCCUUGAUGUGUAGGAUAGGUGGGAGGCUUUGAAGUGUGGACGCCAGUCUGCAUGGAGCCGACCUUGAAAUACCACCCUUUAAUGUUUGAUGUUCUAACGUGGACCCGUGAUCCGGGUUGCGGACAGUGUCUGGUGGGUAGUUUGACUGGGGCGGUCUCCUCCUAAAGAGUAACGGAGGAGCACGAAGGUUGGCUAAUCCUGGUCGGACAUCAGGAGGUUAGUGCAAUGGCAUAAGCCAGCUUGACUGCGAGCGUGACGGCGCGAGCAGGUGCGAAAGCAGGUCAUAGUGAUCCGGUGGUUCUGAAUGGAAGGGCCAUCGCUCAACGGAUAAAAGGUACUCCGGGGAUAACAGGCUGAUACCGCCCAAGAGUUCAUAUCGACGGCGGUGUUUGGCACCUCGAUGUCGGCUCAUCACAUCCUGGGGCUGAAGUAGGUCCCAAGGGUAUGGCUGUUCGCCAUUUAAAGUGGUACGCGAGCUGGGUUUAGAACGUCGUGAGACAGUUCGGUCCCUAUCUGCCGUGGGCGCUGGAGAACUGAGGGGGGCUGCUCCUAGUACGAGAGGACCGGAGUGGACGCAUCACUGGUGUUCGGGUUGUCAUGCCAAUGGCACUGCCCGGUAGCUAAAUGCGGAAGAGAUAAGUGCUGAAAGCAUCUAAGCACGAAACUUGCCCCGAGAUGAGUUCUCCCUGACCCUUUAAGGGUCCUGAAGGAACGUUGAAGACGACGACGUUGAUAGGCCGGGUGUGUAAGCGCAGCGAUGCGUUGAGCUAACCGGUACUAAUGAACCGUGAGGCUUAACCUUACAACGCCGAAG
rnacentral:rRNA from 1 species